rfam:Pongo abelii chromosome 4.
GCAUGGGCGAUUUGGAUAUAAUAUUUAUCAAUGCUGAUUACCUGGAUUGCUUUGGCUGAUCUGGCUAGCCUGGAGGGUUUUUCCAUUCUUCCCUCACUGUUGCAUAUGUUUUCUUUCUGAAACCUUUUCUCUGUUAAAGAGAACAACGUUUUCUACUAGCAGAAGGGGGAAAGCAACAAAGCAAAAAUUCUCUUUUUUCAAAAAAGCUAAAAAUUAGCAUUUUUGUUACCAAGCUAUUCUUUAGCUUGGUAAAGAGAGAUGUAAGUUGGACAUUCAUCUUAUGC